rnacentral:pre_miRNA from 10 species
AUACAUACAUACAUAUAUACAUACGUGUGUGUAUAUAUAUACACACACACAUAUGUAUAUAUGUAUGUAUGUAUG